rnacentral:rRNA from 1 species
CCUACGGGGUGCAGCAGUGAGGAAUAUUGGUCAAUGGACGAGAGUCUGAACCAGCCAAGUAGCGUGAAGGAUGACUGCCCUAUGGGUUGUAAACUUCUUUUAUAAAGGAAUAAAACCAUGCACUUGUGCCUUUUUGCAUGUACUUUAUGAAUAAGGACCGGCUAACUCCGUGCCAGCAGCCGCGGUAAUACGGAGAAUCCGAGCGUUAUCCGGAUUUAUUGGGUUUAAAGGGAGCGUAGAUGGGUUGUUAAGUCAGUUGUGAAAGUUUGCGGCUCAACCGUAGCAGUGCAAUUGAUACUGGAAGUCUUGAGUACAGAACAGGUAGGCGGAAUUCGUGGUGUAGCGGUGAAAUGCUUAGAUAUCACGAAGAACCCCGAUUGCGAAGGCAGCCUGCUAGGCUGUGACUGACAUUGAGGCUCGAAGGUGCGGGUAUCAAACAGGAUUAGAUACCCGGGUAGUC